GAGUUUGAUCAUGGCUCAGAUUGAACGCUGGCGGCAGGCCUAACACAUGCAAGUCGAACGGUAGCACAGAGAGCUUGCUCUUGGGUGACGAGUGGCGGACGGGUGAGUAAUGUCUGGGAAACUGCCCGAUGGAGGGGGAUAACUACUGGAAACGGUAGCUAAUACCGCAUAACGUCUACGGACCAAAGUGGGGGACCUUCGGGCCUCACACCAUCGGAUGUGCCCAGAUGGGAUUAGCUGGUAGGUGAGGUAAUGGCUCACCUAGGCGACGAUCCCUAGCUGGUCUGAGAGGAUGACCAGCCACACUGGAACUGAGACACGGUCCAGACUCUACGGGAGGCAGCAGUGGGGAAUAUUGCACAAUGGGCGCAAGCCUGAUGCAGCCAUGCCGCGUGUAUGAAGAAGGCCUUCGGGUUGUAAAGUACUUUCAGCGGGAGGAGGGUGAGAGGUUAAUAACCUAUGCAUUGACGUUACCGCAGAAGAAGCACCGGCUAACUCCGUGCCAGCAGCCAGAUAAUACGGAGGGUGCAAGCGUUAAUCGGAAUUACUGGGCGUAAAGCGCACGCAGGCGGUCUGUCAAGUCGGACGAGAAAUCCCCGGGCUUAACCUGGGAACUGCAUUCGAAACUGGCAGGCUAGAGUCUCGUAGAGGGGGGUAGAAUUCCAGGUGUAGCGGUGAAAUGCGUAGAGAUCUGGAGGAAUACCGGUGGCGAAGGCGGCCCCCUGGACGAAGACUGACGCUCAGGUGCGAAAGCGUGGGGAGCAAACAGGAUUAGAUACCCUGGUAGUCCACGCUGUAAACGAAUGUCGAACUUGGAGGUUGUUCCCUUGAGGAGUGGUCUUCCGGAGCUAACGCGUUAAGUCGACCGCCUGGGGAGUACGGCCGCAAGGUUAAAACUCAAAUGAAUUGACGGGGGCCCGCACAAGCGGUGGAGCAUGUGGUUUAAUUCGAUGCAACGCGAAGAACCUUACCUGGCCUUGACAUCCACGGAAUUCUGCAGAGAUGCGGAAGUGCUUCGGGAACCGUGAGACAGGUGCUGCAUGGCUGUCGUCAGCUCGUGUUGUGAAAUGUUGGGUUAAGUCCCGCAACGAGCGCAACCCUUAUCCUUUGUUGCCAGCGAUUCGGUCGGGAACUCAAAGGAGACUGCCGGUGAUAAACCGGAGGAAGGUGGGGAUGACGUCAAGUCAUCAUGGCCCUUACGAGUAGGGCUACACACGUGCUACAAUGGCGCAUACAAAGAGAAGCGACCUCGCGAGAGCAAGCGGACCUCAUAAAGUGCGUCGUAGUCCGGAUCGGAGUCUGCAACUCGACUCCGUGAAGUCGGAAUCGCUAGUAAUCGUAGAUCAGAAUGCUACGGUGAAUACGUUCCCGGGCCUUGUACACACCGCCCGUCACACCAUGGGAGUGGGUUGCAAAAGAAGUAGGUAGCUUAACCUUCGGGAGGGCGCUUACCACUUUGUGAUUCAUGACUGGGGUGAAGUCGUAACAAGGUAACCGU
rnacentral:rRNA from 1 species